rnacentral:rRNA from 1 species
AGCAGCCGCGGUAAUUCCAGCUCCAAUAGCGUAUAUUAAAGUUGUUGCAGUUAAAAAGCUCGUAGUUGAAUUUCGGGAUUCGUCCAUUGGUCAGGCUUAACUGUCUGUACUGAUGUGUCGGAUUUCUACCUUCUGAAGAACCUUCAUGCCAUUAAUUUGGUGUGUUGGGGAAUCAGGACUGUUACUUUGAAAAAAUUAGAGUGUUUAAAGCAGGCUAACGUCUGAAUACAUUAGCAUGGAAUAAUGAAAUAGGACGGUACAGUUCUAUUUUGUUGGUUUCUAGGAUCGCCGUAAUGAUUAAUAGGGAUAGUUGGGGGCAUUAGUAUUCAAUUGUCAGAGGUGAAAUUCUUGGAUUUAUUGAAGACUAACUACUGCGAAAGCAUUUGCCAAGGAUGUUUUCAUUAAUCAAGAACGAAAGUUAGGGGAUCGAAGACGAUCAGAUACCGUCGUAGUCUUAACCAUAAACUAUGCCGACUAGGGAUUGGACGAUGUUAAUUUUUUAAAUGUACUCGUUCAGUCA